rnacentral:rRNA from 1 species
GAUGAACGCUAGCUACAGGCUUAACACAUGCAAGUCGAGGGACCGGCGCACGGGUGAGUAACACGUAUCCAACCUGCCCUUUACUCGGGGAUAGCCUUUCGAAAGAAAGAUUAAUACCCGAUAUAAAGGAUGGGGAUGCGUUCCAUUAGGUUGUUGGUGAGGUAACGGCUCACCAAGCCUUCGAUGGAUAGGGGUUCUGAGAGGAAGGUCCCCGAGAUUGGAACUGAGACACGGUCCAAACUCCUACGAGAAGCAGCAGAGGGGAAGAGUGGUCAAUGGGCGCUAGCCUGAACCAGCCAAGUAGCGUGAAGGGUGAAGGGUUAUGGGUCGUAAUCGUCUUUUAGAUAAGAAUAGGUAUUAAAUGAAUAAGGAUCGGCUAACUCCGUGCCAGCAGCCGCGGUAAUUC